rnacentral:rRNA from 1 species
AUGAACGCUGGCGGCGUGCCUAAUACAUGCAAGUCGAGCGAACAGACGAGGAGCUUGCUCCUCUGACGUUAGCGGCGGACGGGUGAGUAACACGUGGAUAACCUACCUAUAAGACUGGGAAAACUUCGGGAAACCGGAGCUAAUACCGGAAAAUAUAUUUAACCGCAUGGUUCAAUAGGGAAAGACGGUUUUGCUGUCACUUAUAGAUGGAUCCGCGCCGCAUUAGCUAGUUGGUAAGGUAACGGCUUACCAAGGCAACGAUGCGUAGCCGACCUGAGAGGGUGAUCGGCCACACUGGAACUGAGACACGGUCCAGACUCCUACGGGAGGCAGCAGUAGGGAAUCUUCCGCAAUGGGCGAAAGCCUGACGGAGCAACGCCGCGUGAGUGAUGAAGGUCUUCGGAUCGUAAAACUCGGUUAUUAGGGAAGAACAAAUGUGUAAGUAACUAUGCACGUCUUGACGGUACCUAAUCAGAAAGCCACGGCUAACUACGUG